rnacentral:rRNA from 1 species
CGUGCUAUGUAUAGCAAACUGACGGUACCGUAAGAAUAAGGAUCGGCUAACUCCGUGCCAGCAGCCGCGGUAAUACGGAGGAUCCGAGCGUUAUCCGGAAUCAUUGGGUUUAAAGGGUCCGUAGGCGGGAUUAUAAGUCAGUGGUGAAAGUUUGCAGCUUAACUGUAAAAUUGCCAUUGAUACUGUAGUUCUUGAAUUUUUGUGAAGUAACUAGAAUAUGUAGUGUAGCGGUGAAAUGCAUAGAUAUUACAUGGAAUACCAAUUGCGAAGGCAGGUUACUAACAAAGGAUUGACGCUGAUGGACGAAAGCGUGGGUAGCGAACAGGAUUAGAUACCCUGGUAGUCCACGCUGUAAACGAUGGAUACUAGCUGUUUGGUUUUCGGACUGAGUGGCUAAGCGAAAGUGAUAAGUAUCCCACCUGGGGAGUACGCACGCAAGUGUGAAACUCAAAGGAAUUGACGGGGGCCCGCACAAGCGGUGGAGCAUGUGGUUUAAUUCGAUGAUACGCGAGGAACCUUACCAGGGCUUAAAUGUAGAUUGACUUAUUUGGAAACAGAUAUUUCUUCGGACAAUUUACAAGGUGCUGCAUGGUUGUCGUCAGCUCGUGCCGUGAGGUGUCAGGUUAAGUCCUAUAACGAGCGCAACCCCUGUUGUUAGUUGCCAACGAGUGAUGUCGGGAACUCUAGCAAGACUGCCGGUGUAAGCCGUGAGGAAGGUGGGGAUGACGUCAAAUCAUCACGGCCCUUACGUCCUGGGCCACACACGUGCUACAAUGGCCGGUACAGAGAGCAGCCACUUGGUGACAAGGAGCGAAUCUAUAAAGCCGGUCACAGUUCGGAUUGGAGUCUGCAACUCGACUCUAUGAAGCUGGAAUCGCUAGUAAUCGGAUAUCAGCCAUGAUCCGGUGAAUACGUUCCCGGGCCUUGUACACACCGCCCGUCAAGCCAGGAAGCUGGGGGUACCGAAGUCGGGACCGCAAGGAGCUGCCUA